rnacentral:rRNA from 1 species
UACUACCGAAGCUACGGCAUCAGUAAUGAUGGGUAGGGGAGCUUCCCAUACGGGUUGAAGCAUGACCGUAAGGACAUGUGGACAGUAUGGGAGUGAGAAUGUUGGCAUGAGUAGCGAGAUGUGGGUGAGAAUCCCACAGGCCGUAAACCCAAGGUUUCCAGGGGAAGGUUCGUCCGCCCUGGGUUAGUCGGGACCUAAGCUGAGGCCGAAAGGCGUAGGUGAUGGACAACAGGUUGAUAUUCCUGUACUACCGAUAACCGUUUGAGAGAUGGGAUGACACAGUAGGAUAAGCUAAGCACACUGUUGGUUAUGUGUGCCCAAGCAUUGAGGCAGUCAAAGUAGGCAAAUCCGCUUUGAUAAUGCUGGGAUGUGAUGGGGAGCGAAAUUUAGUAGCGAAGUAGCUGAUUUCACACUGUCAAGAAAAGUCUCUAUCGAGGUUAAAGGUACCCGUACCGCAAACCGACACAGGUG